rnacentral:rRNA from 1 species
GACGAACGCUGGCGGCGUGCUUAACACAUGCAAGUCGAACGGAAAGGCCCUGCUUGCCGGGUACUCGAGUGGCGAACGGGUGAGUAACACGUGGGUGAUCUGCCCUUCACUUCGGGAUAAGCCUGGGAAACUGGGUCUAAUACCGGAUAGGAGCCAUUUUUAGUGUGAUGGUUGGAAAGUUUUUUCGGUGUAGGAUGAGCUCGCGGCCUAUCAGCUUGUUGGUGGGGUAAUGGCCUACCAAGGCGGCGACGGGUAGCCGGCCUGAGAGGGUGGACGGCCACAUUGGGACUGAGAUACGGCCCAGACUCCUACGGGAGGCAGCAGUGGGGAAUAUUGAACAAUGGGCGCAAGCCUGAUGCAGCGACGCCGCGUGGGGGAGGACGGCCUUCGGGUUGUAAACUCCUUUCGCUAGGGACGAAGCUUUUUGUGACGGUACCUAGACAAGAAGCACCGGCUAACUACGUG